CUACCCUAUGUGAACGGGUCGAUUAAUUUUGUGGAUUUUUUGGUGAUUGCUGCAUAUGUGAACGUAUUUUUGUAAAAAAGCGAUCGCAAUGGCUCAAAGAAGCAGUCGAACUUCUUCUGAACUUGUCGGUUGCCAAUUGACAAGGAAUGUGUGAAAUUGAAUUAACAAUUUUUUGUGGCAGCCAAGAGAAAGGAUGGCUGGUUGGUGACUCUUGAUAACCAUUGCAGCCAUUUCUAAUGGCUUCAUUCAGAAAUGUUGAAAAUGGCAGUCAACGAAGACCAAUGCGAAAUGCUAUUUUCAAAAUUUUUCAUAGAAAUAUGCGUCCACUUAAUUAUACAAGUACAGACUACAAAAUCUAUCUUUAUGGCAUAUAGUGUAACCCGUAAUGGCGCAUGGAAAACCAAUAAAACACCCUCUGACGUCAACUACUCUUUUAAAGUAUUAUACUCGUCGUCGGGCGAAAUGGAUUUGGAAGCUUUAGCUUUUCUGGUGGCUACCUUCACCUCAUCGCAGGAAAAAGUAAGCGAUUUAAGCAAUUGUUCGACAGUUUGUGCAGCCGUCUGGUAGCACGAAGUUUAGAGCUGUCGCCCGGAGGAUGCAAAAUAAAUUGCCAGCUAAAAUAGCUCGCCCAUCUCGUCUGGCCCAAUGAAACACAAUUCCAAAAAAAGAAACAUUGCCACCCUCCUAUUGCGCUUUCGGGUUCGACAAGCGUCCUACGGUGGACCAGACCCCAUUCACUCCAGAGGUGCAGUUGCAUGUCUUCAAAUGCUCAACCCAUUUAGUCUGCUUUUGCUGGAUGAUGUUCAGUUGAGAUCCUUUAUUCGAGGAUCCUCGGGAUCGGCUUGGCGUAAAUGAUCACGCUCGUUUGCUGUAACAGCUGCUGCAGCUGUUCUACCAUAAGGUGUUGUCCCUCCGGUGUCUGCAUCAAUGGUGGACCAUAAAUGCUAAACCGCCGCCACUGUCCCGGGAUCUGUACGGUGCACAUUUGUAAUAGUGCACUUGUAAUCAGAGAGGGAAUACUGUGGAUUUUUUUCUUGGACCGCAGCUAUCUAAAUUCCACGUUGGUUUGAAAAAUCAGUUAUCUCUUUGAUCUUUCUCGAGUGUCCGUUGCAGCUGAUUUGUGUAGUCUCUAGAAUUGCACUUGACUGAUAUGAGAUUCCGAGGUACUCUGGUCUGGAACAGACUGUGUGGGGGCCAAGACCUUCUUGUUAACCCUCACAAGGGAAUUGGAGCGGGAAGUAGGAGAGGAUUGGGGCACAGAAAGGCCGGUGGGAUGUUACUCAGGUGAGCUCCGUAGAGGUUCCGCUGUUGUUGUUGUAGCAGCAUAAACAUUCCCCAUGCAUAUACGAGGAAUGCUGCUGAAGUGACAGUCCUUGGCCGGAUAUAAAUCCGGGUCGUUCCGGUAACUGUCACUUUAAGUGGACUAGAAGUUGCUGAAUGCACCUAAUGGUCACAAAUCGUACGUACCUCUCGCUGUGGAUCUUAAGACCUGAACAGAGCCUAAGAAGGAGUAUUGGGCUUGCUGCAUGUAGUUGUUCCAGUGACGAUAGGCGAAGGUAAGGUUCAGCUUACUAAACAGGGCUAGUUUGUUGGGGCGACAGCCCUUGAUCGAAAAAAAAAAUCAGGGUAGUUCCGGUACGUAGAAGCGACUGCCAUAGGAAUGAAAUCCAAACGCUAGUUGAUUUCGGUAGGCGACGUUGAACAGGCAAUUUGCCGUAUGUUGUUAUUUUUGUAGUAUUUAAAUCGGAGUAAGGAAAUCAAAUAUGUAACGAGGGUCUUUGACCAUUUUUUGCCGGUUAUUUAUAUAUAUAUAAUUUGGGUUUUUGGCCGAGCUGCUCCUCCUACUUGUGGGGUGCGUCUUGAAGUUGUUCCAAAAAUGGAGUGACCUUCAGUUUCAAGCCGACUCGGAACGGCAGAUAUUUUUUAUGAGAUGCUUUUUCAUGGCAGAAACACACUCGGAAGUUUGCCAUUGCUUGCCGAGGGGCGAGCGCCAGUUUUACAGGGACAAAUUUCUCACAGUCAAAAUUAACCUUCAACGAAACAGUUCGUUGUUUCAUUAUAGCUAAGAGAUAGGACAAGCUUAUUGAAACACCUAUAUUUAUUUUUAUAAAUCUUUAACCAAACUUUUCCAAAAGUUAUUAUCUUAAUAUGGUUUCCGAAAAGUUGUGUCAAUUGUUUUGCACCCUUCUCAAUCACAUAACCUAUAAAAUCAAGUUCGAUUCGUAUUGCAUUUGCAUUCAGUUUUAUUUUGUUAUAAGCAAUAAUUAUAAAUUUAUUUCAUAAUUAAAACUCCUAAUCGUACAUAGUUACAUUCAAUUGUGUUCAAUAUAGGGAUCAAGGGAUCAAAGUUUAAACAUAACCAUUAUAAUAUAAUAUGCACUUACAAAGAGUCAAAUAUUGUAAAUUACACAUUUUUAUAAUUAAAUUUAUUAGUAUGUGAAAACGCGCAGCUUCUAGUUGCUUGUUUCGUUUUAAAUAAAUACACGUUCAAUUUAUUCGACAA